rnacentral:rRNA from 1 species
UACGAAGGGGGCUAGCGUUGCUCGGAAUCACUGGGCGUAAAGCGCACGUAGGCGGAUUGCUAAGUCAGGGGUGAAAUCCUGGAGCUCAACUCCAGAACUGCCUUUGAUACUGGCGACCUUGAGUCCGGGAGAGGUGAGUGGAACUGCGAGUGUAGAGGUGAAAUUCGUAGAUAUUCGCAAGAACACCAGUGGCGAAGGCGGCUCACUGGCCC